UACGGAGGGUGCGAGCGUUGUCCGGAAUCACUGGGCGUAAAGGGCGCGUAGGUGGCGCGGGCAGUCAACGGUGAAAGUUCGGGGCUCAACCCUGAAUCGGCCGUCGAUACUCCCGGGCUUGAGCACUGUAGAGGCAGAUGGAAUUCCGGGUGUAGCGGUGGAAUGCGUAGAGGAUCCGGGAAGAACACCGGGUGGCGAAGGCGGUCUGCUGGGCAGUAGCUGACACUGAGGCGCGACAGCGUGGGGAGCAAACAGG
rnacentral:rRNA from 1 species